UCCGCCGGCUCCGUCCGAACCAUCUUCUUCUCGGCUUCCCGCUGAACAGAGGGUGUUUCUCGAGCGGUCAAAAUGUUUCAAUUUAAACAAUUGUUCUUUUUCAGUGUUCUCGGUCUUUCUGAGAGACUUCUGAGGAGAUGAAUGUUUAAUACGCUGGAAUGAGUGAAAAAAAAAAAAAAAAACAGCUCAGACGCAUAACUGACUUCAGGGAGUUCUGCAGGAAAUGAUCCUUUAGGGAUAUUUGGGGUCACUGUUGGUGUGACUGAUCUGAUCCUGAAGUUAGGCUGUAGAUAAGAAGAGGGGUCACAAAGCCUCCAAGUGAUGUCUUGCACUUGCAGCUCACUCCGGAGCAAAUCAGCGCGGAGCUGAGAAGUGAUUUCAUGUACCGCCUGGAGCAGGAUCAGCAAUUGCAGAGGAUCCAAGAAGAGAGAGAGGCUUUACCUCUGAAGAAUUUUGAAAGUGAAAUUCUGGAGGCAAUCCGUCACAAUUCUGUUGUUGUCAUCCGUGGUGCCACUGGUUGUGGUAAAACCACUCAAGUGCCCCAGUACAUCCCAGAUCUCUCUUCCCUCCUACCAGCCACCCUGCAGUCAUUCUUUUCACGAGGAGUAGUCAGGGCACGGGCCCCCUGGUGUUUCAGGCACAAGGAUCAUCAGCCAGCAAGAGGAUCAGCCCAGGACACAACAAAAUGCACCUUUCAGGUGACAUCGGAUGACUUGCUCUGGUGAGACGCCACCUGCAGAGCUGCCUCCCGCUCUGUGGCCCCCAACAUCAGGACAUGGAGCUGCUGAAUCGCCCCAACCCAGGCCAAGAGACACUUCCAAGCCAAAGUCCAAACCGUGGGGAUUUGCUUUACUCAGCGCGCCGGGAUCACUCCUCCUAACGGUGCACACGAGGCACGCAGCAAACUGCAAUAUAUGGUUAUACACUA